rnacentral:misc_RNA from 1 species
GCAGGACAUAAGUACCUUGGUGGAAUCACCCAAGUUUGUGGACUAUCAUAAUACAAAGAAGCUCUAGCUAACUGAUCUGUUACUUCGCAAAACAAAAAGUGUAAUGGCAACGUACAGCCCCCGUGCGUGCGUGUGUGUGUACUCGCGGGAAUCAAAAUGCAUUCGAAAAAGGGGACGAACCCGAACGCGCUAAGCAGAACCACGGACGCCAUCCACCUCACGUUAAACUUACGCAUCUCAAAGCCGGGAUAUUUGUCCGCAGGAAGGUUAACCUUCCCUUCUCUUCUCUCCCAACUCCAAACUCUGUCCUUUUUAUUAGUGGCGGAAAAGGGAAAGGCGGCCUUACUUUUUCUCUUUCUAUUUCUCCACUCACCUUUCAUUCUCCUGAGAAAAUUUUAGCUACAUUUUCCUUUCGAUUUUCUCUCCUUUUCCUUCUCUUGAAAAUGGCUACCCAAACAAGCACUUCUCCGUAAACAUAUAUUCUCUCUUCUAUUCCUCUUUCCAAUCGCUUUUUCGUUAUGGAUUUGUUUAAUUUUGAUAACUUCAAAUCUAAGAAACCAGGCGCUAGACGAUGGUGCAAUUACCUUCCAAGCUUACCAAAAUUGUUCCGAUUACUUGAGUUUUGCCUUGCUCUGGUGCUUCUCUCAUGGACUUUCAAUAGGCUUCCAUUUGCCGUUAGAAUUUGCAGCGAGUUCUUCAUGAGAAUUGCUGGAGUCAUUGCUAGCCCAAUCUUCGUUUUCUUGCUCUGCAACGCUAUUAUCGCUACUCUCAUUGUCAAAUCUGGCAGAUUCUCCGGCGAGAAUCCCGCUGCAGACAAUGCUGAGACUGAGCUUUACGAUGAAUUGUUAAAAAACAACGAAGAUUGUUAUUCCAAGUCAUUUUCAGAGAAUCCUUCUUCCCCUCCUCAUCCCCCGUCUCACGCAACCGAGGAGAUUGAGUGCCAGGACAAGGAGAUAAUCUCUCAAGUUAACGCUAUCACUCAAACAGGCGAAGAUGAUGACGAUGUUGUUGAAAUGGACUUGUAUUCGUUUUCGGAUUCACAUUUGGAAACGGAUUCUGGCAAUCCGAGAGUUUGUCGAAGGUCAAAAUCGGAGAAGCUACGGAAAAAGUGCGCGGAGAAGGUGAAAGCGAAGAAGCUGCGGCGAUCGGAGACUGAGAAGUGCAUGAAUGCGGUGAAGUUCACCGACUGCGAGAGUUUUUGUCCAGAGAAUGAAUUAAGUGACGGGGACUUUCAGCGCGCGGUAGACGAGUUCAUUGCCAAGCAUUUGAGGUUUCGUCGCCAAGAGUCUUUGGCCGUUGUUCAUCAUAAUCAGCGCUCAGUCGCCGAAAUUGAGAAAAAAAUGAAAAAUUAAAAUUAAAAACUGCGAGUUCUGCUUUUUCUAUCCCCAUCACCGGUACAGAUAAUUUCACAAAAAAAAAAAAAAGUAUAAGCCGUGGUUUUGUUUUCCUGAGGUGAUGAAUAUGAUGAAAAUUGAACAUGGAAUAUCUGAGCCGUCUGUUUUGGGAUAAAUGAUGUGCUAAUGCUGUUGUUGGUUGAUUGUGACAUAGUGGAAAUGGCAAUCUAGGAUUGCAAUUUAUAAUAGCUCCUAUAAUCCUGUUUUAUUUUGUUUAAAAAUACCACUCAAGCAUAUCUUAUGGCGACGGAAUUGAAGGCAAUCCAAACGUGUUUACCAAAACUCAAAA